UACGUAGGGUGCGAGCGUUAAUCGGAAUUACUGGGCGUAAAGCGUGCGUAGGCGGUUCGUUAAGUUCGUUGUGAAAGCCCCGGGCUCAACCUGGGAAUGGCAAUGGAAACUGGCGGGCUGGAGUAUGGCAGAGGGGGGUGGAAUUCCGCGUGUAGCAGUGAAAUGCGUAGAUAUCAAGUGGAACACCAGUGGCGAAGGCGAGUCCCUGGACAAUACCUGACACUGAGGCACGAAAGCUAGGGGAGCAAACAGG
rnacentral:rRNA from 1 species